AUUGAACGCUGGCGGCAUGCCUAACACAUGCAAGUCGAACGGCAGCACGGCAGUAGCAAUACUGUGGGUGGCGAGUGGCGGACGGGUGAGGAAUACGUCGGAAUCUGCCCAGUCGUGGGGGAUAACUAGCCGAAAGGUUAGCUAAUACCGCAUACGACCGAGAGGUGAAAGCGGGGGACCGCAAGGCCUCGCGCGAUUGGAUGAGCCGACGUCGGAUUAGCUAGUUGGUGGGGUAAAGGCCCACCAAGGCGACGAUCCGUAGCUGGUCUGAGAGGAUGAUCAGCCACACUGGAACUGAGACACGGUCCAGACUCCUACGGGAGGCAGCAGUGGGGAAUAUUGGACAAUGGGCGCAAGCCUGAUCCAGCAAUGCCGCGUGUGUGAAGAAGGCCUCGGUUGUAAGCACUUUAUCUAGACGAAAGACGUAGG
rnacentral:rRNA from 1 species